CUUUAAUUUAAUAUUUAUGGGAUCUAUGACCUGUUAUGUAAAAUCAGUGUGUCACAGCUAAAGUCAUUUUAAAAGCAACAUACACUAAAAGCUUUACUAUUUGAUUCUCAAACCACUAUUUCACUUUCAAAAUGUUCAUCGUCCUAGAGAAAAUGAUACAUUGAAUAUAAGGCAUCAUGUGCAAUUAACUGUGCUGUUAGUUGUUCCCACCACACAGGUAAAGUUUAGAGGUUCAGACAUUGGCGGAUUUUUUAAACCAACCCUAAAAUUCUUUUCUCUCAUAUCCUUUAGGCCAGGGAAAAUUGUUCCUGUAUUGUAGACUUCAAUCUGUUUCUCAAUUUAUUAGUUAUACAUUAUCUAGCAGCAGCCAUUCAAAAGACAUUUUGGCAGAAAACCUGUUCUUAAAAUGGCUGAGUUUUCAACACCUCAAUGAAAUAACUUUUAGGGCUGGGCUCUUCCUCAGUUUACAAGAGUGGUAACAGUAUGCACCUGUUAUUCCCUUCUCCGGACCUUUGCCUCCCAGUGGGCAGAAGGCUUGCCAAAAGCUGACCGCUCUUGCUGAAAUGUUUUUGUAACUGACAUCACUCAGCCUCUCAGAAUAGCAGUUUUAUCCAAGCUUACAAUUAGUAAAAAGCUUUUGAAGUGCACUGAAACCUUAGCAAGCCAUCCCAGCAGGAGCUGGCUCUUAAGAAGGCUUCUUUUACUCUGCUAGGCCAGAAAAAGUGGCCUGUUAAUAUCACUUUUUAGUCAUGCUUGUGUUUCAAAGAGGUCAACACUUAACCGAGUUAUUCAAUCAAUAAUGUUGCCUUUAAAACAGAAAGGGUGCUGUAAGUACAGUGUGUAAAUCAUUAGUGCUGUUCACUAGCUAUUUUUGAUAUCUGGCUACCUAGUGGGAUUUUCUUUCUUGAUUUUUUUUGCUUGGCAUCCUCAGGUGAGUCCAUAUGACUAGUUCUGGCCAAAGGAGUCAUGAACAGAAGUAGCAUGCAUUACUUCUAGGCCAGAGCAUUUAAUUGCCAGAGUGAAACCCUCAUGAAUUCUUUCCUGCUGCUGCAAUGAUUGACAGCAUUCCAGAUAGUGGCUGUAGCAUCUAUCAAUUUGUCUCUGAAACACAAUAAAAUGAAGAACUCUCAACUGAUCUGCACUGGAUGUACCAACACUGGAUUCUGAAACUGAGCCCAGAAGAUUGGAUGCAGAUUUCAAAGGACAGUACACAUCCAUGCACUCAUGAAAGCCCUUAAAACUCCACACCACAAGGUUAAAGAAGUCCCUUUAACAUUUCUUGUAAGGCUGGUUUGAUGGUGUUGAACUUUGUUGGCUUCUAUUUAUCUGGAAAACUCUCAACCUCUCCUUCAAUUCUGAAUGGUAACCUCACCAGGUAAAGAAUUCUUGGUUGGAAGUUUUUUCCUCUCUGCACUUUGAAUAUGUCAUGCCACUCUCUUCUGACCUGCAAAUUUUCUGGUGAAAAAUCUGCUGAUAGCCUUAUGGGAUUUCCCUUCUAUAUAAUAAGUUGUUUUUCUCUUGCUACUUUAAAUAUUCUCUCUUUAUCUUUAAAUUUUACAAUUUUAAUUAUAAGAUGUCUUGGUAUGGAUCUCUUUGGGUUUACAUUAUUUGGAAUUCUCUGGGCUUCCUGGACCUGGAGAUCUGUUUCCUUCUCCAGAUUAAGGAAGUUCUUUGGUUUGGAACAUAUUCUGUUGUCUCCUCAUUUUGCCUCACUCUCUGUGUUUAUUUCUGUGUAUUAGCAAAUCAACUACUUCUCUCAGCCUUGAAGGAGCACCCUCGUUUGGGGGUUGUCAUGGGCCCAGAAGUGCAAUUUCCCCAGGCCACCAGAGCUGAGCAAUCAAGGGGCAUCCCCUGUGUGGGUUGUGCACACCCUCCUGCUGUGGAAGGGCUGUGUCUGCAGCAAGUAUGUGGGCAUGACUCUCAGUGGGACACUCCCACCAGCACUAGUAGGUUAGAGAGAGAGUUCCUAAAUGUCACCUGCCAAUGCAAGCAUUAGCAAGGUAGAAUGAGGUUGCAAAAAUGGUGCCCACCAGUGUCUCCAUCCCUGGAGAGUUUCCUCAACAUUUUUUCCCUCAACAGUUUCCUGCCUUUCCAGCAGACACUUUAAGAUUAGUAAGUGGGUCUCCUUCAUAUAUGGUCUAGGUGCUUUUCAAACUGGUGUUUUUGCAUUGGGUCCUGAGAUGAGUGACUCUAUACAUGAGCCCUUUAAGAGUGAGUUCUCUGUUCACUACAGUUCUAUGGUUUUCCUGGAUGUAAUCCCCACUGGUUUUCAAAGUUAGGCAUUUUGGGGGCUCAUCUCUCUUGUGCACAAUCUAAAAGUUGGGGUCCCUGAUGUGGAGCACAAACCCCUGGCUCUUCAGGGAAAAGUUCCAUAUUUUUUGGAUCCCUCCUGAUUGUGGAUUCCUGUGCCUGGGGUGUUUUUUUGGCUUUGGUGAGACUAUUUCUCUGCCUCUCCUGCUCAUCUCAAUGCUGUCCCUUUAUCCUUUGUUGUGGAGGCUCUGUUUAUCUAGUUUUCAGAGGAAAUUAUUCUGCAUGUAGCUGUAGAUUUAUUGUGUCUUUGGGAGGAGAUGAGUUCGUGAUCUUCCUAUGCCACCAUUUUGAACCCCCUUCAGUCCAACCCAUAUUUCUUAUCUCACAAUUUCUGUAGAUCAGGAGUCUGGCAAGUCACAGGGCCCACACACUCAAUAAAGGGAGGUUACAUAAAGGCAUGGCCACAAGGAGACAAACAUCAGGAGGUAGGAAUUACUGGGGGUCACUUUAGGGCCUGUCCACCACACCAAGUUUCUUAAACUCUAGCUACACACUAAAACUCUGAAAUAAUUACCUUACAUGACUGUAAAAAUUGUCUUCAGCACUUCUCCUAGAUCUGGGUUCUGGGUUCAGUGUCUUGGUAUGUCAUUAGCAUUACCUUGUACCAUCGUCUUUCAACAAUAUAAUCCUGAGCAGUCUGUAUACAAGUACAAACUAGACCAGAAGACACUGGGUCUGCAAGGCUUUGCCAGAGCCCAUAAGUCAGCCCUGCUUCUGAAAGCUAGGUGGUGAGAGGGAAUACCAGAAGGGCCCAAUCAAUUCAUUAAAUCUUUACUACCGUAGGGUUACCAUUGAACAUUAUUGCUUCUGUAGUGACGGUGCAAUACAUAGUUCAGGUCUUUGGGCAAACUAUGCUGGUGCUUCAUAUUUAAGCCCCAAGAUUAUAGCUUUCUGUUACUGUUUCUACAGUCAUAAACCAGGACAAUUGUAGCCUUCCCUCCUUAAGGAAUCUCAUUUAGCCCGGGUCAACCAUAUGGUCUCUCUCUUCCCUCCCAGUGAAUUCCCUUUGGGGCUCUGGGAUAGCAGUAGAAUUUAGUCAGGGCGACUACUCUCCACUAAACAGUUUUCUUAAUUUCCAAUCUCAGGGAAAAGUCGUUGAGAGUUUGCCUCCUUCAUACAUUAAGGGUUCUUUGUGCAAAUUGGUGCACCUACUUCUGAGGUUCUGAUUCCUAAGAGUUAGGUGCAGCCCUACUAAAUCUAACAGAAGAUUUGUUUGGUUACAAUGGCUUUUUGCGUUAUAUUUGCAUAACUGUGCAACUGCACAGAGUAGAGAAGAAUGGCUGUAAGAUGACUUUUUUACCUCAGCCUAAAGAGAGAAGCAGCUGGUACUCUGCUCAGUAAAACAAAUUAGAGCCCUGCCUCACCAGGCAUUCCAGGCACCCCGUUACACUGGUAUUUUAUUAUACACGUCUUCAAAGCAGUCUUUAAGUACUGAAUCUUUAUCAAUUGAAUUCUAUGGGAAGUUUUACUCUUCUCCAUUAUGCUCUGCCAAAUGCUGACUGGAGCUGUGUGAUGCUACAAUUCUCUGUCAUUUCAUCCCCGGAAAUCUUUGUCUGCUUUCUUUAUACAUGCUAAGGCUAUAGGAACAGUGUUUUAAGGUCUCUUUGUUGGGAAAAGCCCAAACUGAAAACAGCUGCCCCACUGGGCAGAAACAAGGAGGCCAUGUCAUUUCUUAUAUAGUGCAUUAAACAGUCAUUCCAGGUGUUACUGUUUAACUCUUUCAUAGUCCAAAUAUCAUGUGGAUUUUACAAGCACAUGGGACUUUUGAGAUUUUUCUAGGGCCGUUAACAGCUAAUAAGUACAAGAACAUAGUGACUGGAAGUUGGGUAAAAAUUUUUCCUGCUUUGCUAUUUAUACUUUGCUUUCUACUUAUGCCUCUCCCUGAAAACUCAUAGACACAAAUUUUUGAUCAACUUUUCUCUGUUUAAAUCUAUUUAUAAACACAUGAAUGUUGAUAGCUUUUGAGUACUGAAUUUAGGUGAAUUUAUAUUUCAGAACAAAAAUUAACUGAUAUCUUCCUGGACAUUUUAUUACAGCAGAGGCAAAAAUCUAGUACCUUGAGAUGAAGAUAAAAAAGGAUAGGGAAGUGGGACAAGCUUCUGAGUUUGAGACGUCAUCUCUUUCCUGGUAAGAACCGUACGCUCAAACUGAGGGACUAGGGUGCAUCGAAUGAACAUAGUUGUUAAUCAUGGUCUUCCUUGCUACUAUUCUUUUUUGCUGUUCAACUAAUACUUGAGUGGAGACAAAAGGGAAUCAAGAGAGAAAUCCAAAAGCCACAACUGAGAGGAAAGGAAGAGAUGAAAGUUCCUAUAGGCACUGCUCUUUGCAGAUAGCUGUUAUGACAUAGCCAUUUAUAUAGAAGGCAAACAGAAAGAGAGACACAGACAGAGACUCACACACACUUGCCAUUCUGAGACUGCCUGGGUGUUAUUUUGGCUGAUACAGCUAAUGAAACCAGUAUUGGUCAUGGUUUUUAGUUAUAGACAACAGAAAUCUAGCUAACGAAAACAGAACAUGAGUUAUUAAAAGAUAAUCGUAGCUCCUAAAUCGUUGAGAGAGCUGGAAAAAGAGACUCGAUGCUAAAUGCUAUAACGACUCACAAAACCCUACCUUAGAAAUGGAGUGCCCAGAGAGCUGUGGCCUCUGUGAUGAUCAGGAAUUUGCUGAAUCAGGAAACUGCUCUUAUAACAGCCACCUCUUCCAGAAACCAUAUCGGUAAUAGGGCGAAUCAAUAACAUGGGUCUUAGACGGCCUGUUUUUCCAUGUGACUAAUUUCUAAACUAGGAACUUAUGCGAGUAUGCUUAGAUGGGUAAACCUAAAUCCUAUCUUGAAGCUUAGCCACAAGAAAUUUUGGGGAAUACUGCUUUUUUCUUAUUCUCCCAGCCUCUGCAUGCUAGGAGUUGGAACAAGUAUUUAUCAAGACACAUCGCUAUAUGCUGCCAUUCUACUGGAUUUAGUAGACUACGAAAUAAUCCUUAUUCAAAAUGGAGGAAAGGAUGAUAAAAUUUAAGUAAAAGGACAACAAUAAAACAAAACAAAGCAAGCUCCAAGUGACCUCUCAGUAUUCACAUCCUUGUGUGCACUUCUCCCAUAUGGAAUCAUGGCUGGUCAAGAUUAAUAGAAUACUGUGUGUGACUUCUGAGGCUAUUGUCAUAAAAAGGCACUACAGUUUCUGCCUUGAUCUCUUGGACUGCUUGCUCUGGGGAAAACCAACCUCCAUGUUGUGAAGACACACAAAGAGUUCCUUGGGGAAAUCCAUCUGGAGAGGAAACAACUUGUCCACAUCAACUUGUGAGCCAUGUGAGGGGGCCACCAUGGAGGUGGAUCGCCAGCCUCAGCCAGGCCUUUGGAGAUCAUAGCCCCAGCUGAUGUCUGACUGCAACCUUAAGAUCCUGUGCUAGAACAUGCAACCCAGCCUUUUCUAAAUUCCUGGAUGAAAUGAUGAGAGAAAUACAUCAUUAUUGAUACAUAUUAUUGAUAUUUUAAACCACUACAUUUUGGGGUACUUUGCUACACAGCUAUAGAUAACUAAUACAAGGCUCUUACAUCAUGAGGUCAGCAAAACCUCUCUGAAGAGAUAGUAUUUGCUAUGACCUGAACAAGGAAUAACCAGCUGUUUGACCCUUGGGGAGUUCAGUUUUCCAGGCAGAAGCAGUAGCCAAAAGGAAGUUGGAAGGAAAGUGAGUGUGUGCAGAGCAUAAUGAGUGGGAUUGGGGGAGGAGGGUGUGGGGAGAGGUAUGUAGGAGCUGGGUUCUUUAAAGUAGUGCAGGUCAUGGCAAGGAAUUUGGAUGUUUUCCCUAAGUGCAAUAGGAGUUAUUAAAAAGUGUUAAUCAUGUUAGUGAUGUGAGGUAAGAAUGGGAGGUAAAGAAAUACUUCUUGAUAUACCCACUCAAGAAUUUUUGCUGUGACAGAGGAGCAGAUAUAGGGUCAAGUGAGGCUUUGUUCUUUUCUAAAAUGGGGACAAGUAAGACCUAUUUGUAUGCUGAGGGAAAUGGUUUUAGAGUGAGGGAGAUAUUAGUGGUGCAGGAGAGCAAACGGAUAAUUGCAGGACAAUUGUUCUUAAAUAGGCAAGAGGGAUGAAUUCAGAUGACAACAAGUGAGGCUGUUCCUCAGUGGGAGCAAAGACAGAGAGCAAGCCAAGUACUUGGGGACAUUGGCAGUUAGACUGGUGAAUCUGUGAAAAUGAGGUGAUUUUGUCUGAUUGCAUCUAUUUUCUUAAUAAAAUGUUUGCUUUGAUUAUAAGUUAAAAGUGAGGAUAUAGGAGGUGUGAAGAAAGCUGAAGUAGAUAUUUGUGUUGCGUGUCUGAAUAAGUGGAACACUCAAUUGGAAUUUCUAUUGCUUUCCACUUCUAGAGAAAACAACAACAAAAACAAGAAAGAGAAAAACAAGUUGAUAUGAGUUAUUUAGUCCAAAAAGGUAUAGCUGGUGGCAAAGGAGGAUAAAAGGGAGAGGAGCGUUUGAGCUGAGAGAGAAAUGAUCUUAUUUUAUUCCCCUAGAAUUCUAGAAUUUUAGAGUUAGAGGGAAGCUUAGAUUCAUAUAUUUAGGCAAAGGCACACCCUUUGUAAUUUUUCUUUGUCCUUUUUGUUCGUGUUUGGUUGACCCAGGAAAUUAUAUUUAUAAAAUAAACUGAUGAUUUCUGUUUUUAUCAUCAGUGAAAUCAACAUGAUCAUAACUAAAAACUUGAGACUUUCACUCCAACGAGAGGCAUCAAUGAUUAUUUGAUGGGAUUUAUUCAUUCAGCAAAAUCGAUUAAAUGCCUACUUUGUUUACUAUAGUGUUCUAGGUCUAGGUGAUAGGAAACAAUGUCGAGUGAGUAAGAUAAGCUCUCAGCCCUGCUAGGUCCUACUCCAGCCUUCAUCUACCAUGUAGAUAAUCAGGCAUGUUUUCAGUCUUUCAGCUCCAUGAAACACUUCUGCUAUAAAACAUGCCUCUAAGGCACACCUGGAGACAGUAUAGUGUAAUGUUCAGAGGCCUGACCAGGUUUGAAUCCCUUAAACUCUCUGCCUUGUUUCCUCCCCCGUACAGCAGGCACAAUAAUAGAGCACACGUCAUUCAGUUCCUGAGAUAAUUAAAUGAACUUUGACAUACAGAAUGCUUAGUGCAGAGCCUGGUACAUAAUGAGUGUUAUAUAAGUGAUUCUUAUCGAUUAAUAUAAAGGUGUCUUCUUCAUGUAAAGGGGAAAGACAGUCUUCAAGUAAAGUUUACUUUUAGUUUAAACCAGACAUAAUUUGGAAACUAAAUAGUCUGGCAUAACCCCAUCUCCAUUCACACAAUUCUAAAGCAAGUGUGUGUGUGUGUGUGUGUGUGUGUGUAUGAGUAUAUAUUUGCACACCCUGCAACUCCUGUGGAAAUUAUGUGUUCAUGAGAGGAUCAGACAUGGAUUCUGACAUUACUUUCAUUCUGAUGAAGCUUAUUUUCAUACAACAAUUUUAGAACUCUAUUUUCCAACUUUAUACUAAAAUUUAAGUUAGUGCUGGAACUAAAUGUGUCAAAUCAAAAUCAAAUAACCCCCACAAUCAACCAUUGAGUAACUGAAUAUAUAUAUUAUUCUACAAAAGCAAGUCAUAUGAACAUCUGGAAGCCUCCUCAUUAACGCCAUCCUUCCAAGUAAAAUAAAUGCUUCAGCCAUAUUUAUGCAUUUACAAUCCUCCCCUGACCUCAGGAUGAACAGUUAUAAGUUGUUUCCAUUGAAGCCUGUACAGAUCAAUUAUUUAGCUUUUUGUGGGUUUCUUUUAAACACAAUUACCUGGAGGAAGAAAGAUGAGUUUAUGAAAGCUUCUAAGGAAUUUAUGCAAAAAAGAAAAAAAUGGUGCCCAGGUUGCUUUUCAUUUUCAGAAGGUUUUUUCCCUCCAUAUUUAAAGACUGCAUUAUGCAGUCAUUCAUUCUGUAAAUUAAACCUUUUGAUUCCUAGUAACAUUAUGCAAAGCUAGCUUAUUGUACCUAUUUGCAAAUACACUAUAUUAGUGAAUGCUUUCUUUUUCUUUGCCCAAAUUACCAAGAUGUGUCACAACAUACAAAGGACAUUUUAAAUGCUACCAAAAUAGAAAGUUUUGUGUAAGCUAUGAUAAGCACAAUAUACAGCACAGUCACUCCAAGUGCCCAAAGACACGUGGAAUUACAAUAUGAAAAAAAAAGAAGGCACUCUGAAAAAGUUAAAAGCACAAUAUGUGAAUAUCACGGAAAAGUCACUCAAGGGCACUUAAUCAUUGAAACACAACUACUGGAUGUGAGGGAAGUUGAUGAAAAUAGACUUGGGAGAAUUUUUCCCAAUCUCACCCUUUUCUUGUUCCAAACGUAACUGUCAACACUUCAUGUUCCCUGGAACACCCUAAGGUGGGCAAGAGAUUUGAUGGAACAGAUCCUCGGAAACAGAGCAGAGGAAAUGCGGCAUAGCUGAGUUACUUAGAUAUUACAGAUUGUUUUGUCUCUCUAUUUUGAACUGUGACUCUGACAUAUUAAGCUUUCCUCCUGUGUUCCCUUCAUUCUACAACAACUGUAUUUACAUGGGACACACAAAAUCUGAGUGAUAGGACAGAACCCGAGGAGAAGGGAUGGAAUCUACAUAGCUAAGAUGUUUCCAUAUGUCCUUAUCUAGUCUUUAACCACUGUCUUUAGUAAAUAAAAAAUGAAAGUUAAAAAAAAAAGACUUGAGAAAGCCUCAUGCUAUUUGUGCAUAGGGAAUGGAGGUUUGCAAGGGGCCAAGAGAUCAGGGAGGAGAAGAAAAAGGGAACUGAGUGUGGAAAAGAAAAGAAAGCUCUUUCUUCUGAGAAUUUGAGAAGAAAGUAGAUGCAGGGGAGGAAGACAUUUCCUCUACCCGCUGUGGGUUCGUCUGACCAGAGAACGAAUUAAAUACGCAUGAGGCAGAAUAGCAGGAGAAAAUUAAACAAAGCUUUAUAACAUGUAUACAUGGGAGAGGCUCAGGCAAGCUGAGCAACUCACCAAAAUGGCUGAAGCCCCCACCUUAAAUAUCCUCCUCAGCUAAAGACAAAGGAGGAUGUUGGGGGUGGAGGGGAAGUUGAUCAUGGGAGAUUACCACACAAGUACAGUAAACAAAUGCAGAUUUGAGUCCUUGCCUUUGGCAUUGAUUAAGAGUUUCUAGAGAUAAGGUCAUUCCCCCUUCUUCCUGGUACAGAGAGGGAGACACCUUUAUAGAUGAAGAUUUCCUUUGCAAUGUAAAUGUAUCUUAACAAAGGGUAAGUAAAUUCUACUUUUCAGUUGCUUUCCUGUCUGCAGUUUAUUAAAAGUAACCAGCCCCAAAUAAUCCUCAUGCCAAAGAGACAUAUCUUGGGGUGGCCAAUUCCAGGCUCCCACAUAGACUUACAUUGUGUUCUCCAUUCUCAAGUGUUGUCCAUCUGAAAGUGUGUUGGUAGAAUCAAUGUCCUCUCAAACACACACACACACCAUGCAGACACAGAUAAAAUUUAUGAGAAAACAUUUAAUAAGUGUUAUCAGACAGCUAUUAGUAAAACCAAAACACUUUUCAAGCUCAAUAACUAUUUACUGUAAAAUUUUUAUGUUUAAGUAUUAUAAAUUAACUAUUAAGAGACAAAAUAAGAGAAACCUGGGCUAUUUAUCUGUGAAGAUGAGGAGACCACGGAACACUCUAACGUUCACUAUUGUUUUUCAUGUUACAUACGGAGUUUCUAUGUCUAUAAGGUUUGUCUUCAUAGGCGGUUCAUUCACUUGCUCUACAGUAUUUAUGGUUCCCUACUCUCUUGGAGCGCUCACAGCACCUCUCUCCCUCCUCUCCUCACCUCCUUAAACUCUCAGAGACAUUGGUGAGGUCCUCUUUUGAGAAGAAUGUGAGGAGAAGAUGUUUAAACUCAGAAUAUGAGAUUUACAUUAUACUUGGGAAUAGCGUGAUAGUAAAAAAUAUAAGUUCAUAAGCAAAUUACUGAUGGUUUUAGGAUCGUCAGAAUUUUUUUUUUACAGAUUGUGUAUGUGUGUGUGUGAUUUCGGUAUAGUUUAACAAUGAUAUUAUAAAUGUUCAAACUUAAUUUGGCCUUAAAAAGAUGUUUUUGUCUAUGGAGAAACAAAUAGUGUUUUGGGAUGAAAGUAGAUCCUAGGUAGAGGUGUUACUUGGGUUCUGCAAGUUGGCCUAGGGACCCUUAUCUUAAUGCACUUGUUCAAUGCUAACUUAAGGGAGAUGCACAAAUAAAUUUAUACCAGAAAAGCUGCCUUCGAUGAUAUAUAUACAAUUGAUGGAGAGAAGGCAAAUGAAAGAGAAAGAUUUUAGUCUCUGGGACACAGCUUGCCAAGAUUUUGGUCCCCAUAGGCCUGGGUGUGGGCUUGCAAGCCCUCCAGUGGCCAGAGCUGCCUCCCGGCCACCUCAAGCACCCCUGGCCAGUCUUCUUUGAUCUUUAGGGGUACCUAUCUGUUUACCUUAGAGUGCAGAGCGCAGUACAGAUAUUACCAUUUUAAGAUAGGAAAACAUUGCCCUAAGGAGCUAUGACUUCCUAGGUCGAGGAAUUGCUCUGCAUUUCUUUUUGUAAAGGAGUAGUCUUUGAUUGUACUCCUUGUCAUAUCUGGGCCUAUGUCUAUCUGUAUUUAUAUCUAUUCUACAAAUAUUUCUUGGACACACACAAUAUGCCAUACAGCACAAAAUAAUAAAAAUCCAAUUUUGAUGAAUGCUAUGCAGACCAGCAAAAUAGAAAAUGAAAACAUAAUUUGCAACAAACUGUGACUAGAAAUUUUGUCUAAUUUAUACAAUAUUGCUAUUUUCUAUGAAGUGAAUGUUUUGAUUUUUUUCCCCACAAAAUGCAUCCCUUCUUUCUUGAGCUGUAACAAGUUCAAUUUCCUUGCUCUUCUUCUUCUAAACGUGAAACUUUAUUCCUUGUCAGUGUCUAUGAAACUGGAGAACAGAAACUGGCUUAUCUGUUACUCUUAAUAUUAUUGAUUUACGAGAUUCUCAUCCUGGUAUUUCUAAGGAAAGAGCCAAAGUAUCCUGGUAUUUCUGUUUGCGAAGAUUCAAAAGCAAUGAAGCAAGCUAUUUCCCUUGAACGCUGUUAUACACGACAAAGGAGCUAACUGCUUAAUUCCAGGGGUCUGUUAUUAUUUGUAAACUGCUUCUUAAAUAAGGAUACUUCCAGAUGCCUCUUGCUCCAGAUGGUACCAUUUAACUGCCUGUGUUACUCAUGAGUGGUUUUCUGCUUUAGCUUUAAACAAAUACUUAACACAGCAAUUCUGUUAUCAAGAAUUCUCUCUUAAAAUUGGAACAAAAUCCUAAAGUGGUACAUGAAGUGGCAGCACAAGCAAUUUCUUUCAGCAUGGGACACAUGGGUUAAAAAUAAAUGAAGCAUGAAGGUAUCGGUAGGGAUGAAACAGAACUAUAGCCAAGUGGAAAGAGAAAAGCUCUCUGGGCUUCGUCUGAAGAGCUGAGUGCAAAUCCUUGCUCUGCUCCAUGUUAGCCUGGUGACCUCGACAUCUCUUUCAUAGGAUUUGUUUGAGGACUAAACAAGAUAAUUAAUAUUUUCCAACACUAUUUCUGAUGGAUGGUAAUACAUGUUACCAGUAAAAAAAAAGUUUCUAUGGUUGCAUCCAUUUGAGAAAUGUUAAGUUAAACCAAGAAAUAGGUUUCUUCAGUGAAAGACUUCUCAGUCUUUAAAAUGACUUUAAAAAGGACUUCUCAGUCAAUAUGUUUUGUGACUCUUGUGUCACUGUGAUUCCUAAACUGACUUGGCCCCCAGCCAGCACUCUUGUUGGAAAUAUAUUCAGUGGGACACAUUUUGGGAAUGCUACUCUGCUCUCUAAAGUACUGUUAAAAUGUAAGCUGUUACAAGUUUAUAUGUAACUGUAGACAGCAAUGUGGGAACUGCCUUUUACUCAUUUGUGUUCUGGAGACCUUUCCUAUCUGACUGUCAAAAUUAAUCCAUUAUUAAAUACAACAUUUUAAAGUAAAUUUAGUUAGCAAUCAUGAUCCUUGGUACAUCAGAUAUUUAAAAAUAAGCAAACAUAAAACAAAACAAAACAAUGAUAUAUUUAAGCCCACAGGUUCAAACAACACUGGUUGUUCUUUUCAGCUUUAUGUUUAAAAUCUCACCAGGUAUUAUGAUAAUAAUUUGACCAGAUGUUUGCCUCUUUCAUGGAAUUUUCACUCUUGAAUUUUAUUAGUAUGGCUUAAACUAAAGCUCUGUGAAAAAUUUAAUGCUAUUUUUGCAUUCCUUUUAGUAGUACUUGAAAAAUAUGAGCGUGUCAGCGAAACAGCCUAAGUACUGGAUACACCUCACGUUCAGAACCUAGGGGAUACCUGCUUACUCUGCGAUCUCUACAACUUACGUACCCUCCAGCCUCAGUUUUUUCAUAUAUAAAGUGGGUAUGGUACUACCUACCUUCCAGAAUAUUUGUGAAGCACAAAGAAGGAAAUCAUUAGAUGAAAGCUUCUGACAUGCAGCUGCUACUUUUGAAUGACAACAGAAAGUCGUGGAUUUGCGUAUUUACAUGAAGGCAUUCCUUGGGAAUUAGUGUACGACUACAAACGUCCAGUUUUUAAAAAUUAGAAACAGAUUAAUCCUUAUUAAAGCAGCUCUAAAUAAUGAUGCAGUUAAAUUUCAAUUUAUAUUGCAAAGAAUAAAACAAUAUCUAAUCUGUAUAUCUGCAUAUCUGCAUCUAUGGGAAUCUUCGAUUAAGUAUUUCUUUCUUAUUUCUCCUUUAUGCCCUUUUGCAUGCUUGUGAUUACUUAAAUCUUACACUGAGAUCUGAAUUUUAGUAGCUGUGCUCUUAAAAUUCAAAAACUACCUUAUUGCCUCAGUUUAUUUUACGUUUGUGAUGGUCUCAGGAAUAAUACAGAGUAUAUUAAUUAUUCUCAUUUUAAAAUUAUUCUCUGCAUCUUGGAUUAACGCUUUCUCCCACUUUUAGUGCCUGCCUCAUCAGUCUGCUGACCACUGGCUGUGUGGACCUCAUUGGGAUCAUUGAUUCAGGUUAUAGGGGCCUCUCCUGAGGUUGGGGGAGGAGAUUUACAGCUGCUUACUGUUUUAAGAUGUGUAAGGAGGUUAUCUGAGCUCAAGUAUUUGUCUACUACCAAAGGAAGUCACCUAAACAAAACACCAGCAGCCCCCUGUGUCUUCAGCAGUGAUGCCGGAGUCAAGCUUCCUUUUAGAAACCUGUCCUAAGGCUUUAUCCUAGAGACAGAUAUGCCGGCAAAUCUGAGCAUGGGGCUGGAGUGGCUGUCCUGUGCCCCUUGACUAAUUUACACCACUGAUUGCACCCACGUUCCUGCUUCUUAGGCUGGACUAUUCUGGAGUUCCGAUGGGAAUACUCACUAGGGAGCAAGCCUCUGUUGUCCCACAUUGUACUAAAGUUUACUCAGGUCUGUUAAGUGUUCCUAUCUGUCUCCUACUGUGUAGUAUAUUCAGAAGUUCUUUAACUUUCCGGCCAAUGCUACUAUGAACUUAUUCUAAUUUUCUAAUUGCUUCUAUUUCCCUUUAAUAGGAUUUUUGUGGGGGAGAAGGAGAGGUAAAGUCCUGUGCUCAUCACCCAUCUUGAAAUGGAAAACCCUAGAAUGAUUGUGUCUUUCUACUAUCAUCUUCUACUUUCUUUGAGUCUCUACAUGGUCUCAAUGAGAGCUUUGUUUUUCACUCUCCUUUUUAAACCUAUUUGACUAUAGCCACCAAUGAAUCUUAUUUCUCAGCUUUUGGCUUGGUUUAUUUCCUCUUCAGAGUUGAACAUGCAUCAUUCAUUCAGUCAGUCAUCAAAUAUUUGUUGAACGUGUCUUAGAUACCAGGUGAUGAAGAAAUACAGACACAGCCUUGCCAGCACAAAGGUAAGCUCCUUCUUUUCUGCAAACAUGGAGCAGAUUUUCUUAUUUUUUCCCAUGAGAAGAGUAGAUCUGUCUUUACCUUUCUGCUUAUUUAACCUAUUAGCACAGCAUAUGUCUAGCUUUUGUUUAAAAAAUGGCUUAUUCUUUGUAAGAUAAAAAUUUUCAUUCUAACUUGGCAACUGAAAAGAAGAAUAUUUAAGGUUAAAUAUUAAGCUUCAAAUACAACAGCAAAUUAAACUGACAUUUUAAUUUCACUGUCAAUACCGUAUAUGUCGUAGAGACCUUCUAAUAUAACUGUUGUCAUCAUGUAGCGUAUAACUGAUGGCUCUUAGUGCAAGUGGUUAUUUUAAAUUAAAUUAUCUGAAUUUAUUUUUUACAGGUCUCCCAAGGCUUGUAGAGUUAAAGUGCACUUUGCCCAUAUUAAAGAGGAACUUCCUGAUAUUAAAAUGGAAUGAGUUUCCAAGAUUGUUUGGAAUUCCUUCUCUGCAGAGCUUUCAAAACAAUCCAUCUUAUCGUGUGUCUUUGGUAAUUUAAAUGUGGUUGUGCUUGAAGGCCAGAGAUUAGGGUCCCUUUCAAUCUUAUGACCUGUGGGCAACUCAGGUUGUUGUAUCCAGUAAGUGAAGAGUUUGUGAAAAUGCGCAUAAAACUAUACUGCGCAUGUGCAAAUGCGUAUAGGGGAAGAGAGGGCUUGUUGGUCCUAGAGGUCUGUGUCUCUCAAACUGGGACGUGCAUGAGCCCAGGGGGACAGAGUGUCAUGUCAGUGUAUAUCUGAAGCUGCAGGAGACACAUGGUGCAUCUUCCUGAGAGGUCAAUAAUCCGAAAAAUAGUGCAGAAAAGCAUUUUGAAUUUUUAUUUUAUUUUUAUUAGAAUAAAUAUGGAUGUAUCAUUAAGUAGAAAUCACAAAUUCUUGCACUGACUGAAAAAAUAAGAUAGAAGUCUUAAACAAUUUGGACUACUUUGGAUUGUUCCUCCCGUGUCUGCCCAGGGUGCUCAUCCUCUCUCCUGCUGGACUUUGGUAGCGAUGGUCACUGGCUCCUCUGCAGGUAAAAACGUGUGACGUAAAACGCUGGUUUCAAUUCCUAAUUAUUAUAGCGUGAGUAACGUUUUUGAAUGCUAGUAGUUAAUUUAUCUAAGGAUUCAAGAAAAACUUGCUAUGAGACUAGCAGAUUAGAACUUAAUCUUUUAAAAUUUGAUAAAGGGGAGAUGUAAACCAGCCUCAAUAUACAUAUGUAAUUUGUUUUGACAGAUUAAGAUAUGAACAUCUGAUUGAAAGUAAAUGUCAAAAUGCAUCAAGCAUGCAAAAUUGUCCUUAGCACCUUUGUAUAUCGUGCUAUCUGUAGUUAGAUAACACCCUAACACCCAGAGGAUCCUCUUCCGCAUUCUGAUUUUACCCAGAUUCUCCUUUUUGUGAAUCUCUAAGUGAAUCUCAAGCCUUUCAAAGUUGAAUCUCUAAAUGGUACUAAAAUACUCUGGAAAUUGUGAAGAAGUUUGAGAUAAAGUGCAUGCAUAUUCAAAUUACUUAAAUGACAGCUUUAUUUUUAGUUAAUUUUCAUUUAUGGAUGCCUCUCAAUUUUCUAUCAAAACCUAGAUAUACAGAGCCAUGAAUUCUGGCUUUUUUCCCCCAUUUCUGGCAUCUAUUUUAGAGACCUCUGCAAAUAAAAGAAAUCUGUAAAUGUGGCUCUUCCUUGUUAACCUCACACCUUUUUUUUUCUCUGCGAAACAUGUCUAACACUUAAGUCCAGAGUCAGAGCCAGGGACAGACUCUGAGGAAAGCAUGGGCACACUAUUUUUCUUGCUUCUUUAGUUUCUCUUUUCCUCCUCUUUAGAAGACUGCUAGGGGAAAAGGUUUAGUUUCCUUCUAGGUUUCCUUUUAUUCCCGUGGUGAACUGUAGGCUGAUGGGCUCUAAGCUGGUCCUGCUAUUUCUAACCUUUUGCCAAUAGAAAAACACUGAGAUGUACAUGGCUCAUUUUUAAGCAGCCGGCACACGCGGGGCUCAGUCAAAAUAAUUUCAUGAAUAGAUACUGGCAUCCUUGAUUUGAAAUCAUCAAGGAAGAACCUACAAAAGCAAAUAUCUGAUAAUCAAAGUAACCAUUCAAACCUCAGAGUUGUAGGCCUUGUUCGGUCUAACCAUAGCAGUUCUGGGUUCUUUCUACAAAUCCACCAUCUAAGGUCAUUCGGCCUCUUCUUGGACGUUUUCAGUAAAAAGUAUUUCUUUGGAUACUUUCAGUGAAAACUCAUUGCCCCAAAUAGUCAAUCACAGUGGCAAAUUUCACUGUGAAAAAGUGUGCUCUUUGGGGCUGGCCGCAUGGCCCAGUGGUUAAGGUUCUACACGCUCACUUCGGCAGUCUGGGUAUGCGGGUUCGGAUCCCGGGUGUGGACCCAUUGCACUCAUCAGCCAUGCUGUGGAGGCAUCUCGUCUGCAAAAAGUAGAGGAAGAUUGGCACAGAUGUUAGCUGAGGACUAAUCUUCCCCAAGCCAG
ensembl:lncRNA